rnacentral:rRNA from 1 species
CCCUUAGAUGCUCUGGGCCGCACGCGCGCUACACUGGUCGAUGCAACGAGUUUCUUUCCUUGGCCGACAGGCCUGGGCAAUCUUUGAACAUCGAUCGUGAUCGGGAUAGAUUCUUGUAAUUUUUGAUCUUAAACGAGGAAUUCCUAGUAAACGCAAGUCAUCAGCUUGCAUUGAUUACGUCCCUGCCCUUUGUACACACCGCCCGUCGCACCUACCGAUUGAAUGGUCCGGUGAAAUCUCCGGACUGGCGUGAGUCGGAGCAAUCUGACAAACACCGGAAAGUUGAUUAAACCUUACCAUUCAGAGGAAGGUGAAGUCGUAACA